CACCAGCGAGGAAGACAUCUCAAGAAUAGGAAGUGUAGUAUGACACUUUAAACAACAGCGACGGC